CCGAGUUUACAACUCCCAACCCAUGUGAACUUACCACUGUUGCCUCGGCGGGUCAGCGCCCGGUGCGUAAGCCCGACCAGGCCCCCUAGACCACCACUCUUCUGUAUUCCCUCGCUGACGUAUUCUUACCUCUGAGCUAAAUUCUGAAAUGAAUCA
rnacentral:misc_RNA from 1 species